UGUGUGUGUGUUCGCAAGAUGGCGUCUUUUUCUCUGUUUUCAAAUCCUUGCUGCUCUUUGCUCAAGUCCUGAGGAGUCCCACUGUCAACUCAAAUGAUUCCCAAAAGUUGUUUUUCUUCACUUUACUUCUUUUUCUGUCUUCUCCUAGCCAGCAUGAGCCAGUAACUUGUCACUAAACGUAGUCAGGAUUUCCUGCAACUCUCUCAUGACGAAGGAAAUUUGUCUUAAAUUCUUCAUUCCUGAGAUAUGGAAGCUCAAACAUCGCUUACCGCGACAGUUUACACG
rnacentral:lncRNA from 1 species